AAUUGAAUAUUCAGAAGAAAAUGAAUGGAUAGACUGACAUUUGUUUAAAUACUUCUAGAAAUCUGAGCUGUUGGUGUGGUAAUAAUAUUAGAGCUGGCAAUCUUUCUUACUGAAUCUCUACUCUGAGUCAUGUUACCUGAGAUUAAUUCUAUGUUUACCUGACAGCCUGGACAAAUGUGCUGUGUGAAGGAUGUAAAUGAAAUCAGAUCUUAACUGCGUACAUUUAAGGAGCCUGGUCAUAUUUAAUUGUAAUAUGAACCAAUGAUUUUCUGAUUGCUGAUUCUAAGAGAGUCUUUGUGGAAAUCCUGUUUGGCUUUUUGUCAUUUUAAUUCUCUUUUCCGUUUGCCAGAACAGUUCUCCACAGUCACUGUCCACAGGGGUCAGUGGGACCAAGCAGCACUCUGCUAAUGUGUGGACUCUGACCAGCAACAUCCAGCAAGACCCAGGCAGCGUUUUCUAUCUCCCAGCUGGAGUUUUUUUGUUUGUCUGUGACUGGAGAGUCAGAUUUUUGUUGAGCCUCACACUUGCAGAGGUUAAUACACUCUACUGAUCCCUGAUGGGAGAAUCAUUACCUCUGGCAACAAAGAAGCCUGGUGGAUGUUUGUUUACAGUCUGAUGAUGGGACAUCAUGCUGUGCAUCUUCAAAGUUUGUCUCUUGCUUAUUAUUCAUACACAGUAAUGUGAAGUAUGCUCAUAUCUAGUAUAACUGGACCAACCUGGUGCUCUUCAUUUAUGGAGGCUGUUGAGUCUGAAUGUUGGAUGUUGUGUAUCUCGUGUUCUCUGGGCUUUGUUGUCCUCAGUCUUUUUGCAGGAUCAGGAAACAAAACCAGGAGACCUGUAAAUGUUUCUUCUCCAAUUGGAUGAUGAUAAGACUGUGACACGGGAUGCCACCUUUAGUCUUGUGAUGAAGCAAAGCUCAGGAAGAAGUGUGAUUAAAUGGUACCCACAUGUGUGCUGCUGAGAAGGAUGUACAGGGGCACCUGCAGCCAAAUCCAAGCCUCCUUAGCAACUUCAAGUCUGUCAGCGUGCUGAGGUCACAGAAACAAGAAAAGAAGCUUCAGACUUCAGAGUGUUGUUUACAGUUUUCUGUCAUCAUGAUCUCCCCUGAAGUUUAUCACUAUUAUACAAGCAAUGGUGAUGGUGUGGAGAGACGGUGGUGUUUCCUCAGAAGAACUAGCAGAGUCACAAAGGACACCAGUCCAUCUCACCACCUUGACUUACUGGCUGAUGCUCGUCUGCACUGCACAGAGGAAAUCAACUGACCGAGCAGGAAUGGAGAAAUGGAAUCAAAGGGAGAAGUUUUUGAUGUUUUUGUAAUGAUCUAAGUAAAUCUCCAGUUUCUGAGUGAGGGAGAGAGGAGUCAUCAUCCAGAUGGGCAGGAUAUCACUGUUGGACUGUCUAACCUGCAGGAGCAGCACUGAAUGAUCACCAAACAUGAGCAGUUCCUGCAACAUUCAGCAGCUUUGCUUUUGUGUCAAACGUCAACCAGCUGGAGAGGAAACUACACCAGUGUACUGGGAUGUUUCACCAACACGUGCCAGACGCUGUUCCUUCAUGGUGACAUCACCAGAGACGGCCCCGCCCACCUCAGGAUCACCAUUGAUCAUGAUGAUUAUAAUCGGAACUAAGACUGUAAAAAUCCACGACCAGAAUGUUUAGAUGCUUUCUAAUUAUUAAUGAAUACUGAGAGCCUCUUUCUGUGUUUUGUCUGUUUUGGGUUGUUUUGUUUUACCUCAUUUGUUACUAAUAAAGUUCACCAAACUCACACAAUUUACAUUCUGUAUGUUUCCAUCUUUACCAGCCACACUCUUAACUGCAUUUAGAAAAUAAACCUUAGAAAUCGUUGUUUUUCUCUUUUGUAAUUGAUGAUAAUUCAGUGAAUAUACUGCGCUGCUUCCUUUUAUUGCAUCACACAUUGCUUUAAGUUUUUCAGUGUCCAGUUAUUUUUUUACUGCUGUUUGAAUUCUCUGUAUGUUUGACCCUGUAGACUGUUUGAUGGACUGCUUGUCUUCCUGUUUGUAACCGCCGCCUGUUUUUGACUAAAGAUUUGGAUUUCUGACUUUAACACAGCCUCUGCGUGUCCUCCCUUUGUGUCCUCUUCCUCUGUGAAUGUGUUGCAUGUGUCACAGAUUCAUUUAUUAACAGCUUUC